rnacentral:rRNA from 1 species
UGGGGAAUAUUGCGCAAUGGGCGAAAGCCUGACGCAGCAACGCCGCGUGGGGGAUGAAGGCCUUCGGGUUGUAAACCCCUUUCAGCAGGGACGAAGCGAAAGUGACGGUACCUGCAGAAGAAGCGCCGGCUAACUACGUGCCAGCAGCCGCGGUAAUACGUAGGGCGCAAGCGUUGUCCGGAAUCAUUGGGCGUAAAGAGCUCGUAGGUGGUCUGUUACGUCUGCUGUGAAAACCUAGGGCUUAACCCUGGGCCUGCAGUGGAUACGGGCAGACUAGAGGUAGGUAGGGGAGAAUGGAAUUCCCGGUGUAGCGGUGAAAUGCGCAGAUAUCGGGAGGAACACCGGUGGCGAAGGCGGUUCUCUGGGCCUUACCUGACACUGAGGAGCGAAAGCGUGGGGAGCGAACAGGAUUAGAUACCCUGGUAGUCCACGCCGUAAACGUUGGGCGCUAGGUGUGGGGUCCUUCCACGGAUUCCGUGCCGCAGCUAACGCAUUAAGCGCCCCGCCUGGGGAGUACGGCCGCAAGGCUAA